rnacentral:rRNA from 1 species
AACGAACGCUGGCGGCAGGCUUAACACAUGCAAGUCGAACGCCCCGCAAGGGGAGUGGCCGACGGGUGAGUAACGCGUGGGAACAUACCCUUUUCUACGGAAUAGCUCUGGGAAACUGGAAUUAAUACCGUAUACGCCCUACGGGGGAAAGAUUUAUCGGGGAAGGAUUGGCCCGCGUUGGAUUAGCUAGUUGGUGGGGUAAAGGCCUACCAAGGCGACGAUCCAUAGCUGGUCUGAGAGGAUGAUCAGCCACAUUGGGACUGAGACACGGCCCAAACUCCUACGGGAGGCAGCAGUGGGGAAUAUUGGACAAUGGGCGCAAGCCUGAUCCAGCCAUGCCGCGUGAGUGAUGAAGGCCUUAGGGUUGUAAAGCUCUUUCACCGAUGAAGAUAAUGACGGUAGUCGGAGAAGAAGCCCCGGCUAACUUCGU